rnacentral:rRNA from 1 species
AACGUAGGUCACAAGCGUUGUCCGGAAUUACUGGGUGUAAAGGGAGCGCAGGCGGGAAGACAAGUUGGAAGUGAAAUCCAUGGGCUCAACCCAUGAACUGCUUUCAAAACUAUUUUUCUUGAGUAGUGCAGAGGUAGGCGGAAUUCCCGGUGUAGCGGUGGAAUGCGUAGAUAUCGGGAGGAACACCAGUGGCGAAGGCGGCCUACUGGGCACCAACUGACGCUGAGGCUCGAAAGUGUGGGUAGCAAACAGG